rnacentral:rRNA from 1 species
CCUACGGGAGGCAGCAGUAGGGAAUCUUCCACAAUGGGCGAAAGCCUGAUGGCGCAACGCCGCGUGGUUGAAGAAGGUCUUCGGAUCGUAAAACCCUGUUGUUAGAGAAGAAAGUGCGUGGGAGUAACUGUUCACGUUUCGACGGUAUCUAACCAGAAAGCCAAGGAUAGCUACGUGCCAGCAGCCGCGGUAAUACGUAGGUGGCAAGCGUUAUCCGGAUUUAUUGGGCGUAAAGGGAUGGCAGGCGGUAUUUUAAGGCUGAUGUGAAAGCCUUCGGCUUAACCGGAGUAGUGCAUGUGAGACUGGGAGACUUGAGUGCAGAAGAGGAGAGGGGAAGUCCAUGUGUAGCGGUGAAAUGCGUAGAUAUAUGGAAGAACACCAGUGGCGAAGGCGGCUCUCUGGUCUGUAACUGACGCUGAGGUUCGAAAGCGUGGGUAGCAAACAGGAUUAGAUACCCCUGUAGUC